GAUGAACGCCAGCGGCAGGCUUAACACAUGCAAGUCGAGGGGUAACAGAGGAGCUUGCUCUUGCUGACGACCGGCGCACGGGUGCGUAACGCGUAUACAAUCUACCUUAUACUGGGGAAUAGGCCAAAGAAAUUUGGAUUAAUGCCCCAUAGUAUUUUCGGAACUCAUGUUCUGAUUCUUAAAGCUCCGGCGGUAUAGGAUGAGCCCGCGUUAGAUUAGCUAGUUGGUGGGGUAAAGGCCUACCAAGGCAACGAUCUAUAGCUGGUCUGAGAGGAUGAUCAGCCACAUCGGGACUGAGACACGGCCCGGACUCCUACGGGAGGCAGCAGUGGGGAAUAUUGGACAAUGGGCGCAAGCCUGAUCCAGCAAUGCCGCGUGUGUGAAGAAGGCCUGAGGGUUGUAAAGCACUUUCAAUUGUGAGGAAGGGGUUAAGCUUAAUACGCUUGACUCUUGACGUUAACUUUAGAAGAAGCACCGGCUAACUCUGUGCCAGCAGCCGCGGUAAUACAGAGGGUGCAAGCGUUAAUCGGAAUUACUGGGCGUAAAGCGCGCGUAGGCGGCUAAUUAAGUCGGAUGUGAAAGCCCUGGGCUCAACCUAGGAACUGCAUCUGAUACUGGUUAGCUAGAGUUUAGGAGAGGGGAGUGGAAUUUCAGGUGUAGCGGUGAAAUGCAUAGAGAUCUGAAGGAACACCAGUGGCGAAGGCGACUCCCUGGUCUAAAACUGACGCUGAGGUGCGAAAGCGUGGGUAGCAAACGGGAUUAGAUACCCCGGUAGUCCACGCCGUAAACGAUGUCUACUAGUUGUUGGUCUCCUUGAGGGAUUAGUAACGCAGCUAACGCAUUAAGUAGACCGCCUGGGGAGUACGGUCGCAAGACUAAAACUCAAAGGAAUUGACGG
rnacentral:rRNA from 1 species